GACGAACGCUGGCGGCGUGCCUAAUACAUGCAAGUAGAACGCUGAAGGAGGAGCUUGCUUCUCUGGAUGAGUUGCGAACGGGUGAGUAACGCGUAGGUAACCUGCCUGGUAGCGGGGGAUAACUAUUGGAAACGAUAGCUAAUACCGCAUAAGAGUAGAUGUUGCAUGACAUUUGCUUAAAAGGUGCAAUUGCAUCACUACCAGAUGGACCUGCGUUGUAUUAGCUAGUUGGUGGGGUAACGGCUCACCAAGGCGACGAUACAUAGCCGACCUGAGAGGGUGAUCGGCCACACUGGGACUGAGACACGGCCCAGACUCCUACGGGAGGCAGCAGUAGGGAAUCUUCGGCAAUGGACGGAAGUCUGACCGAGCAACGCCGCGUGAGUGAAGAAGGUUUUCGGAUCGUAAAGCUCUGUUGUAAGAGAAGAACGAGUGUGAGAGUGGAAAGUUCACACUGUGACGGUAACUGACCAGAAAGGGACGGCUAACUACGUG
rnacentral:rRNA from 1 species